GACGAACGCUGGCGGCGUGCUUAACACAUGCAAGUCGAACGAGUGGCGAACGGGUGAGUAAUGUAUGGGGCUCUGCCUGAUGGAGGGGGAUAACUACUGGAAACGGUAGCUAAUACCGCAUACCAUCAGAUGAACCCAUAUGGGAUGAGCUUGUAGGUGAGGUAACGGCUCACAUAGGCGACGAGCCCUAGCUGUUCUGAGAGGAUGAUCAGCCACACUGGGACUGAGACACGGCCCAGACGCCAACGAGAGGCAGCAGUGGGGAAUAUUGCACAAUGGGGGCAAGCCUGAUGCAGCCAUGCCGCGUGUAUGAAGAAGGCCUUCGGGUUGUAAGGUGCUUUCAGUCGGGAGGCGGUACCGACAGAAGAAGCACCGGCUAACUCCGUGCCAGCAGCCGCGGUAAUAC
rnacentral:rRNA from 1 species